CCUACGGGAGGCAGCAGUGAGGAAUAUUGGUCAAUGGACGAGAGUCUGAACCAGCCAAGUAGCGUGAAGGAUGACUGCCCUAUGGGUUGUAAACUUCUUUUAUAUGGGAAUAAAAUGUUCCACGUGUGGGAGUUUGUAUGUACCAUAUGAAUAAGGAUCGGCUAACUCCGUGCCAGCAGCCGCGGUAAUACGGAGGAUCCGAGCGUUAUCCGGAUUUAUUGGGUUUAAAGGGAGCGUAGGUGGAUUGUUAAGUCAGUUGUGAAAGUUUGCGGCUCAACCGUAAAAUUGCAGUUGAAACUGGCAGUCUUGAGUACAGUAGAGGUGGGCGGAAUUCGUGGUGUAGCGGUGAAAUGCUUAGAUAUCACGAAGAACCCCGAGUGCGAAGGCAGCUCACUGGACUGCAACUGACACUGAGGCUCGAAAGUGUGGGUAUCAAACAGGAUUAGAUACCCUUGUAGUC
rnacentral:rRNA from 1 species